CAAUGAAAACAUCGAAUCUUAACUAUAAAUGCAUUUCUAUUGGCCUAAGCUGUAUGUACAAAUUUCUUCGAAAUAUUCCUGCCAGACAGCUUGCGAAAACCAUUGGAGUUCAUAAAUUUUUUUAAAUAAAUAGAAAUAUGGCAUUCUUUAGACCAUGGGUGAAUGAAGACAAUGAAAUUGCACAGUGUAGUGGGAAUAAAGACAGACGAAGGCAGUGUAAUGGCAUUCCUGGUACUUGUAAAGAGUUUAGAAAUUCAGUGGGGAAGUUGACACUUUCUUCAAUGGAUACCAUCGUGUCGAUCGAUUUAUAUAUUUUCUCUUCACCAGACUAGUAAGAAUUGCCGGUCCAGUGGAGUUAUUUGGUUUCAACUGGAAGGUAGAUGACGUCGAUGAGGAUGGCAUCGGUUGCAGGUCGCAUAAAGAUGACGGUGACGGCAAUGGUUUUAAGUCAUUUGGCAGGUAACAGCUCGGAAUUAGUUUCAUUUGCAGCCUUCAAAAUGGCUUCGGGAAGUUCUUCGUCGGAUAAAUCCAUUAAUAUUAUUGUAUCGGAUUCGGUUUAAUGUGGUUUAAUUUAGAAGAAGAUUGCACUUUGGUCACUUCGGUCACUUCCAUGACGUUUUGAACAACUUUGACGUUUUAGUAACAAUUACAUGGUUAUAUAAAAAAUAUCUGUAUUAUUUUAUAUUUUCAAAAAAUUAAAAAUGCUACAAAAGCUAGAAAAGGUUUAAUUUUUAUUUGAUGGACUAUUUCGUAAAUAUUUAUUUACCUGUAGUAACAAUAGUUAUAAUCUCAGAAGCAAAAAACUAUCUAAUAAUGUAAAAAUUUGCAUAAUUUUACUUUCCCGCACUAGUGCGGGAAAGUGACACUUUCAAAACUAAAAUGCGUGCGGGAAAGUGGGUUAAAACGCACGGUCGUAGAAAAUAGUUAUUUUCCUAACAAAACUUUAACCAAAAACAACUAAGUAUUAUAAAUAUUAAUAUUGAAAACACAAUUUGUUGCAUUCUGUAGACUAGUAAGAAUUGCCGGUCCAGUGGAAUUAUUUGGUUUAAUGUGGUUUAAUUUGGAAGAAGAUUGUACUUAUUCGGUCAUUUCCAAGACGUUUUGAACAACUUUCACGUUUUACACAAUUACACGCCUGGGUUGUCAUAGCAACUGAUAUCAAACCCGGGUGGUUUGAUAGUUGUUUUGUGACACUCCUUUG